GUACAGGGAGCACUGACAGAAGAUGUGGUUUGAGAGAUGUUAUUCUGCUGCCUCAUCUUUCUCUUCGGCUGCUUCUGUAGCAGGUGCCUGCAAGCAGAGGUCAGAAAGCAAACGUCUGAAUUCCAGU